AUGGUGGGCUUCUUGUUGUAGCGGGCGAGCUUGGCGGCCUCGCCGGCGAGCUUCUCGAAGAUGUCGUUGAUGAAGGAGUUCAUGAUGGACAUGGCCUUGGAGGAGAUGCCGAUGUCGGGGUGCACCUGCUUCAGCACCUUGAAGAUGUAG
rnacentral:rRNA from 1 species